UUUGCUUUUGAGACAGGGUCCCAUUCUGUAGCCAGACUGGCCUCAAACUCACAGAGAGAGAGAGAGAUGCCUGCCUCUACCUCCCAAGCACUGACAUUAAAGCGUGUGUCACUACGCCUGGCAAUAUCUAACCUUUUAGACUCUGGCAAUUGAAACUAAGGUUUGCUAUUAAGUGCUAGUUUUCUUAUCUAACACAAAUGGAUUUCUCUUCACUCCAGGUGACUCCUUGGACUGUCACAUGACUUCCUGGAUAGAUAAAGAGGUUACCGACAGACAGAACAGGACUCUGUCCAGCUUGGCAAACCAGAAUGCUGACGGCCACAUUACCGCAGACUCAGUUAUCAGCUGCAGUGCCCUGUUUCCGUCCUUGUCCAGACUGUGCCAGGAGCUUCCUUUGCGACGUCACUACAGCAGUUCUGCUGGAUGAACUGAGGGAACAGCUUCUUGGAGGACCGGGAUAAGGCUGUGACACCGGAAAUUCGACCCUUGUAAGGGCUCAUUAACCCUGGGUGUGCAGAGGACCCGAAGGAGGAGAAACCUCCGGCAGAAUCGAACAUCUCCUGCUGUCAUGCCUAGUGCCCACAGAAGCCAGAAGAGGGUGCUGGAUCCGCUGGAACCAGAGUUUCAUAAGGUUGUGAGCAGCCAUGUGGGUGUUGGAAACUGAACCUGGGUCCUCUGAAGACAGCAAGUGCUCUUAACUACCGGGACACGACUCCAGCUGGAAGGAUUUCUUUUCAUCAAGUAGGUAAAGCACCCAAACCGUAUCACCACUGAGGAGCCCCUUUUAAUGUGGAUAAUUUGACAUGGCAUAUUUUCUUCAGUUAAAUUUUUAGACACAUUUUGUUGUUGUUGAUUUUGAAACUAGGCUUUGCUUCAGAAUAACUUUAUAUCUACCGACAAGCUGUGGAGACUGCACAGAGGGUCUCAUAUACUUUUCAUGGACCUGGCUCUUUCUGAGCCCUUGAGGUCUGAGCCCCGCCGGGUCUGCAUCUCCCUGUCUCACCAAGGAGCACGUGGUCUAAUUCCAUAAAGUGAGCUGCUCUGGGAUCGAGGGAGUGUGACAGCCAUCUUAGAGGGGACACUACCCCUGGCUAAGGUUUACAGGCUUUGUGCCUGUUUGCUGGGCAGUGGUUGUGUGUUUGGUGGACUUUGACCUCAGCCUGGUAGGAUGUUAGUGUGACCCUUGGUGGAUCCCAGAUCUGAGGAUUGCCAAAUGGUCAAAAUGAGCUGGUGUCAGCUCACAUCAAAAGAAAAAGGAGAAAAGACGUUGUAGGCAAAAUUAACAGAGAUAUUGUAAGAUUGCCUUAAAAAAAAAUGCUUCCCCAUUUAGGAGAGUGUGGCCCCAUCAUGCCACCAUUGAGGGGAAACUGCACAGGGCUGGGACAGGAAUCGGUGCCGUGGGCAACCUCCUCCUCCUGGCUGCCCACCCCAGGCCGCUGGCACACUGCUGUCUUAGCUCUAACGCUUCUCUUCCCCUCUGUCAGACUUGGAAUUUUCUACUGUAAUCAGGAUCCACCUCUAAUGAUUUUUGACCCUCUUCCUGCUAACACAUGCCUUAGCCAGAGCCAAAAAGGCCCAUACCUUUCCAGGAAAGGAAUGCCAGCUGAAUGGAUGUGUGCUGGGUGUUGUGUGGGGUGGCUGAGUUAAUGUAUUUGCUCUUCAAGAACUCCAGAGGAGGCUAUUGAGAUGCCAUUCCCAGCUUUAUCUGGCUCUUUUUUUUUUUUGUGGGCAGGGAUGGGGCAUUGGAUUGAGACAGGGUCUCCUGUUGCCCAUGGCCUCACAUUCACUAUGUACCUGAGGACCAUUUUGAACUGCCCACCCUUCUGCCUCCUCCUAAGUUCUGGGGUGACAAGUGUAUACCCCCAUACCCACCUUAUUCUGGUCUUUUAUGAGUUAUUUUGUUUUAAGCAUUUCUUACUGCCGCAUUCAUAUCAGAAAUGUGGAAAAACUGAAAAGAAAAUACCCAAGUUCCAUGAACUGGUCAAUAAUUAGAGUAGGGCUGGCGAGGUGGCUCACGGGGGAAGGAGCUUGCCAACAAGCCUGAUGAUCUGAGUGCCAUUUUUAGAACCACAUGGAAGAAGAGACCUGACUCCCACAAGUUGUCCUCUGAGCUCCACGUGUCCAUGCUGAGGCACACAUGAGUCACCCCUACACUGAAUAAAAAAAUUAAGUGCUGUGGAUAUUGCUCUGUAUAAAUAAAACGCUGAUUGGCCAGUAGCCAGGCAGGAAGUAUAGGCGGGACAAGCAGAGAAAAGAAUUCUGGGAACAGGAAGGCUGAGUUAGGAGAUGCCAGCCUGCCGUCCAGGGAGCAACAUGUAAAGGCACGCAGGUAAAGCCACGGAACACGUGGCGACAUAUAGAUUAACAGAAAUGGGCUGAGUUUAAGUGUAAGAGCUAGUCAGCGGUAGGCCUGAGCUAAUGGCCGAGCAGUUUAAUUAAUAUAAGCUUCUGGGUGAUUAUUUUAUAAGUGGUUGCGGGGCCUGUGGGGCUGGGCAGGACUGGAGAAAACUCCAGCUACAUUUAAGUGUAAUUAAAAAGAACCAAGCCAAACACACACGAAGCUCUGAGUAGUUAUUUCUCCAAAGGUCAAUAAAUAACCAAAGAGCUCAUGAAGAAUGCCUGACAUCAUCAUUACUUCAGAAAGCGCAGAUCAGAGCGACAGUGGAGAGAGGGGGGGACUUGUUGGAAACCAGGGUUCAGCGAAGCAUGCCUCUCAGAAACUGGGGACUACAGCCUGUUCAGAGAAACAAUGGCGCUUAACAGUGAGGUUUCCUCCAAGCUGCCAAAGCAGAUGGGUUUAGUGGUGCAGCUGGCAAUUUUCCAGAACAACUGAAGGCUAAUGUGUGUUUAAAAGAGUUCUGAGUGCCUGUGACUGGACUGAGAGCGGCUGUGACCAUUUUGCAAACGCGCUACGGUGGAACCGAGGGCUGGGUUGGUGUGGAGAAGGCAGAGCACGUGGCCCUCCGUGAACUCAACCCUCUCCCAUUGCGCUCUGUAGGUAAGCUUGGUAAACUCACUGGUUUCCCAGAGUGAUUUGUUGUUGGGACCUUAGACGGAGAAGUAGAGUUGUUCACAUCUCCCCCGGGGAGGAAUUUCAGCAUCACGGACUGUGCUGUGCAAAUGCCCCUCCAGCCAACAUACGAUGCAGGGAAGAAUGGACAACGCUCUCUGGAGACGGUCCUCACUCUACCAGAGCCUGACCUUGUGGUUGGGUUACAGAGCUACAUGGCCUCCUGUAGCUGGCAAGGCUGAGGAUGGGCGCUCCAAGAAGGUGGAGUCGCUCCCAACGCUGGGGCCUGGGCAUCUCGAAAAGGGCAUUUUCACUUUCAGGUUUCCAUUUAUGGUGGUUUCAAGAUGUUCAAGGAGUCUGGGAGGGUGCUCCUCCAUGCAGUUAAAGAGGUAUGACCUGUAUAGAAAAGAGUCGGGGAACAAGUUACUUCCCAAACUAAAUUUGACCUCGUGAAUCACUUUGUUAACACUCACGAUGUGCUCUGUGCCGCUUUUCUUAGCUGUGAGAGGUGUGGUGAGUGGGUGGGACCGAGAGGAGAACAUAAGUUCAUCGGAGCUGUCAAGUGAGGACAGAUAGAGGAUGCUGCGUUCAAUAGACUAUGGGGCUGGAGGUGAGCCAUAGCCCAGUGAAAAAGGGCUGGCCUAGCACGUGUGAGGCCUUCGUUGACUCUCCAGCUGCCAAAAUGCAAAAUAAAAUAGGGUCCCAGUUUCAAAAUCUUAAAGUACACAAGUUGGUGUAGAUUUUGUCAAAUUGUCCUCUAUUCAAGCAACUCAAGUCCCUACUGGCAAGAAAGAAGGAAAAACGAUCUGUUAAGUAGUGACCCUGAGGUCUUCCACAAAUACCUUUUAUAUCUGUUUAUGCAAGUAUAGACAAAGGCUUCAAAAUGGGCUUCCACGUCCUAAGUCACAGAGUGUGUUCAUGUAAGAUGGUGAGACACGUCAGCGAGUGACCUCAUAAAUAAGGCACGCGUCUGAAAUGGAAAUUAUUCAGCUCUGAAAAGUGAGCUCCUGACAUAUGCCGCAACAUGAAUGGGCUUGGAAGACACGCUACAUGAAGUGCAAAGGCUCCAGUUCUCCUCCUGUGAACUGCCCAGGAGAGUGAGCUUUCAAAGACACAGGUAGAGUGGUGACCGGGAGGGAGAGGGACGGGAAUGACGGUCCACAUUUAAAUUUGGAGAGAUGAAAGCGUGUACUCGAGGUCGAUGGUUGGGAUGAUUGCGUAACAUGAAUGCACAUAGUACCAUCAAGUGGAUGCUUACACGUUGUUCAAUGGUACAUUUAUUGUUCACAUAUUUUACCAUGAUUAAAAUGUUGUUAGGUAUUUCCCGUUUGUCCUCAACCAGGCUUCAGCAUCCUCUCACUUCUGGUGGACAGGUCUGUGUUUGGUCUCCCAUCACAUUUGGAACCCAGAGUUGGCACAAGGGUCCCUGAGGGGUGGCGCAGAGGACACUCCUAGAUGCAAGGUCAGUAGCAAAGGGGACAGUUUUAGAGGGACAGUCACCAGAAAGGACAGGCUUCCUGGGAUGUCAGAGGCCCCCAGGCUUGCUCCUUCGGUUCUCCCAGCUGGGGACAGGAAUCUAGUCCCUGGCUUCCCCUGCUUACAGGAAAAGAAAAAGCCCCAAAUUAGCAAAAAGAUUAUUGCAUGCCCUUUCAAACCCUCGUGAGUCAGUAUUAUGUAACAGCCUAGUCUGCAUUAAAGGAGAACAGAAAACAUCGAUGCUUUUCCAUGACAUUUUUAUUUCUCUCUCUGUGUGUGUCUGUCUGUGUCUGUGUGUCUGUGAUUGGAGAUUAGGGGACAAUUUGCAGGUUCUCUCCUUCCAUCAUGUGGGGUCAGUUUGGUGGAACUCAAGUUCAACAGGCACCUUUACCCACUGAACCAUCUCAUUGAACCCUGCCCCCUCAUGUUUUACCUUUUUUUAAAAAAAGAUUUAUUCACUAUAUUUUAUGUUUGAGUGUUUUGUAUGCAUGUAUGUGUGUGUAUCAUGUGUGUGCAUGGUGCCCACAGAGGUCAGAAGAGGUCGUGGGAUUCUCUGGAACAGGAGUUACAGAUACUUGUAAACAACCAUGUGGUGCUGGGAAUUGAACCUACGUCUUCCACAAGAGCAACAAGUGCUUUUAACCACUGAGCUGUUUCUCCAGCCUCUUCAUCAGAAUAUGUGUAUUUUACAUUUAUUAUUUGUUUGUUUAGUGUGUGUGUGUUUGUGUACAUGUACUCAAGCAUGUGUGCACAUGGAGGUCACAGGAUACCUUUGUGCAUUCAUUUUUUUCCUACCACAUGGAACUCAGUUGUCUGGCUUGGUCAAGAUCCUUUAACUGCUGAACCAUCUCCCUGGCACCCCUGCCUGUAUUUUAAGUAGUAUAUCUGCAUUUGACCUGUUAAUUACAGGACUCUGUAAAGCUGGAUUUAACCUGUAAAAGAAUGGGUUGGUUUGAUUGCCCUGGACAUACAUUGACCUGUUCUGUAUCUAACUCAGCCCUCUCCCAACAUUCUCCUGAGCACUCUCUAUCCUUUGGGCUAUUCUCCUCUGAGUUGGCAUUACAAUCAGACUGGGUACCAAGGGCUCACUGUGUGUAAGACAGUCAUAGUAAAUACAGAUUACAGGAGGACAUUGUUUUAGACUCGCCCCAAUGGACAAUGGACAGAAAUCAAAAUGGAGUCACUCAUGCUAAAAUUACACAUUACUAUGUUGCUGUCUCUCCUUCCAAGAAACCAUAAGACAGAUACAAAGUUCCCAAACUGUAGGAUAAUUAUGUCCUUCUGUCUGUCCUGGCUCACUAUUCUUGUCUUGUGAGGAAAGUAACUUCCGAGUGGCUAGUUAACUCCUGUUCUGGGAUUCUGCUUUUUUCACCUUAAACAGAGUGUUGCCUGAUUCUAGAAUCACAAAUUAAGGCAAAUCCCAACCUUGAAAUUAGACUUACUAUCAUUUUGUUCUUUAACAAUUCAUUUCUUAACUUUUUUUAUUAUUAUGUUUGAUAGAGAGGAUAGGCAGGAGGAACGUAAGCGUAACGCCAGGGUCUUGGCUGGGUAUGGUGGCACACAGCUUUCAUCCCCAUGCUGGGGGCCAGAGGCUGGUGGAUCUCUGUGAGUUCAAGGCUAGCCAGCUCUACAGAGUGAGACCCUGUUUCAAAACAAAAAACCAAAACCUCAGAGGCUCCCGAGCUGUGAUUUCUACCUAUCACAGUAAGGGUGCUCCCAGCUUUGUGCCUUGUCUCCAAAUGGUAAGUACCUGCUGCCAAGGCCAUAGUGACCCUCCGGGGCUUCCUUCCUAGCUCUCCACCAUCUAUAUAGAUGGUGGUACCUGUUUAGCUACCAACUUCAGGCUCUCAGCCACCUCCAAAGCCAGGACUGCAGAGGCCUGUCACGGUAUGCCUUCUUCCUUCAGGGCCUCCCUCUCACCAGGGGUCGCAGGACCUAGAAGCCACCAGUAACAUGGCAUCCUCACUAUGUGACUCAGAUGUGACUGGCAUGUCCUUAGCUUUGAGGAGUUGCUCUGUUUACUUAUUUAUUUUGUUUUUUCGAGACAGAGUUUCUCUGUGUCACCCUGGCUGCCCUGGAACUCACUCAGUAGACCAGGCUGGCCUCAAACUCAGAGAUCUGCCUGUCUCCCAAGUGCUGGGAUUAAAGGCUUGGGUGUAGUACUACUGGGGAAUAGUUCUUUUUUUUUUUUAAAUUGUGGUUUUUUAAAAAAUUUAUUUAUUUUUAUUUUAUGCACAUUGGUGUUUUGCCAUGGGUGUUGGGUUCCCUGGCACUGGAAUUACAGACAGUUGUGAGCUGCCAUGUGGGUGCUGGGAAUUGAACCCAGGUCCUCUGGAAGAGCAGCCAGUGAUCUUAACCCCUUAGCCAUCUCUCCAGCCCCUGGGGAAUUGUUCUUUAAACUUUGCAUCUUCCUGAGAGUUUCAUUCUGUGGCCAACACUCUAAUUGCCCAAAGUCAGGGCCCAGAGCAGCUGGGUAGGGCAGGACUGACAAAGAUCAGCAGAGAGGUCUCUGCAGUACUCCGCGGCUGCCACCUUCCCAGGUAUGAGACAGUUCAGGCCUUCCUCUCCUGAGAGCCUCUGACUGGGCUCACAGACCUCAGGCUAGGCGGCCUGGAGUCUCUCUUUUUUUCCCACCCCCCCCCCCCCUUCCAUGUCCCUCUGCCCCUUUUUCUAGGGCUAUCUCUAUGAAGUGAAGAUUCUUCCCAAAUUUCUGGGCAGUGCAAGUACAAGAUCUCCCAGGGACCCAGAAGGCCCGGACUCUAAACACCCUGUUUGUGUAGCCCUGGAGCUGAGUGGCUCGGCAAGGCAUUUUCCUCAAAACUAGACACUUCUGUGCCUGGUGGUAGUCAUGGGGCUGGGGGACCAUGCCAUGGGCCUGGGGGACCAUGCAGGACACUCCAUGCCAGGCAAGCUGCCUGUCCCCGCGACCCUCUUCCCGGGCUUCUCGCUCUGUGGCCAUCACUCUUGAUUUCCCAGGGCCAGCAAGCACUCAGGACAGCUGUGUGAAGCAGACACAGAGAUUGAGAGAGAAAUCCCAUCAAGCCAUCAGCUCCUGUUUUUAAAACUACAGCUUUCUUUUUUAACUGCACAUGGGAAACAACAGUAAAAAUCCAGUCAACUGGAAGGAGGGAGAGAGGGAAGAAAGAGGCUCUUGUGUCGUAUGGAUCUCGGAGAAUUUGCUCUUAAAUCUGUCUGUCUGUCUGUCUCUCCUCUUUCUCUCUCACACACGUACAUAUAUAACUUUUCUUUUCCUUUUAACAGAUCUUGCCUCAAGUUUAUUUGUAAUCAGCACAGGGCACUGAUCGUCUGCAAUGGUGUGUAGGUGUGUCACACCAGUCCAUCUGUCUUCACAUUGGCAGACAGAAACCUUUUCUAUGGGGCCGUCACAAGGGCCUGGGCACCUUUGGGAGCCUGAACUGGAGCUGAGGCCUCUGCCUUGGUUUGAGUCUUGGGUUUUGGUUGGCAGAGCCUAUGACCCUUGGCCACAUAGCUUCUAAUCUGCUUCCCAAGCUUGGGGUGAGCGAUGAAAGCAGGAUGGCUGAGCUUGCGGCUGGGGCCCUUUAGCAUCUUGGGCUUCACAAGUGCCUUGAUGGCCUCUGCACGCGCACUCAUCACCUUCACGCCGCUGGCCUGCAUCUUCUUCGGGCCUUCCCUGUUGGGCUUCUUCGCAAAGCCCAUGGUUCCUCAGGAACUUGGGGUCGACCCCCUUAAGAGAUUCUUAUCUUUGUGACCUGGGUUACUUGAGGCCAUUUUUGUAACAUUUUCGAGAUUGGUUGUGUGUGGCGUGGUUCUUGGACUUGGCACAAGGUCUAUGUAGCCCUGGCUGUCCUGGAACUCACAGAGAUCCACCUGCCUCUGCCUCCUGAGUGCUGGGAUUAAAGGCGUGCACCACUAUGCUUAGCUUUUUUAGUUUUUCAUAUUUUUAGUUCCUCUUAGACCACUCCAUAGCCUAAGAACUCCCUUUUGGAAGAGACCCGGCUUCCCAGAGGUGGGACAGGCCGCUUCCCAGGGUUUUGUGUCUUCCUUCCUGUAUUCAGCUAAGGACUUAAAGUCACACAAUGAGGGGCCUUGAGGCUGUCCCAGCAGCAGCUGCGGAACCCAGCAAGGCAGCAAUUACUCCUGCGGCUGCCACCAGCUCCGUCUCCACUCGAGACAGCAAGCUCAUCCAGGGACAGUUAAGGUUAUGUUACACUUUCUAAAUCUAAAACUUCCUAGUUCUGAGAUACAUUGAGACUUCCUUUGGUUUGACAGAAUCACUCACGUGUUCUUCUCUUCUGACUUGCUCUCCAGGUCGUACUUCUGUUCUUCUCACAAGUUAGCCCAAGAGAGCUCCCUGUCAACCCUCUGCCACCUGCCCCUGACUAUGGGAGGCUGCUUGCCUUGUCUCAGUUGGCUGGGCCUGUCACAAUCCUGCAGGCAGAGUGGCUUAACCCCAGAUGUUUCUCACGUUGAAGAUAGAUGCAAGACCCAGGUGGCAGUACAGGAGGUCACUGUUGACUCCUGGAGUUCCCUCACACAAGGGACUAAGCCUGCCAUGAGGAUGCUACCCUCGCAAGCUCAGUCACCUGGAGCUGUCCCCCAAAGGCCUGCACCAAAUACAGGGCAGAGCUUUAGCCUGAAUCGACAGGGUGCACAGCGGGUCGGCUCCCGUCAGCCUUUGGGCAGUCUCUCCGGUUCCCACUCAUGUGAUAAGUGAAAAGCAAGUGUAAAUGAAACGUUGCCCAAUUCCCUCUUAUCUUCCAGGACUGGGAGCAAGAAAAUGCUCUUAGAAUUAUUACUGUGGAUGUUAGUGAUUCUGACGGUGCUCUUUGGAGAACUCCGAGAAGAGUGGCGUGGAGUGUUCCUUUGUCUGUAAGAAAAUGUCUUCAGAAAAGCCUUCCUGGAGGAGAAGAGUUGUAAAAGGGUGGCGUCAAGUUCCCCGUGCUGGUCUAAAGAUAUCCCACACUGCUAUGUCGAAAGAUGCAUUGAAGUGCACAUGACUGUCUGCCCUCCUGUUCCUCCCAUUCAGGACUCCGAGUCCUAAGCAUGCUUUGUCACUAGCAAGGCAGAAAGUCAAACUUGGCCAGGACAUGUUUCUGGUUCCAGCUAGGAGAGAAGGUGGUGUGGAGACCAUGGGCGAGUCUGUCUUUUAGCUCUGGACUUUUUAAACUCUUUAUCUCUGUUGUUAUGAUGUUGAUGGUUCCAUUCUCUAUAUAUGACUAAUAAAUAAUUACAGCCAACAUUUAUUGGAUUCUUCAUAUGUCCCCAAACAUUUAAUCUUCAUAAAAGUCUCAUGAGGUAGAUAUUUUAUCCAUGAAACCACAAAAUAUCAAAUAAUCUAAUUUCCUUUCUGGUCUUCAGAUUCUGAGAUGUACAUUCCUAGAAGUCUUUACAGUUGUUUGGUUGAUUUUAAAACUUUAUUUUAUGUAUAUGGGUGUUUUGCUUGCCUGUAUGUCUGUACACUACAUGCAUGCCUGGUGCCUUCAAGGCCAGAGGAAGGCAUUGGACCCCUGGGAAUAAGUUACAGAUGGUUGUGAACCACCAUGUAGGAGCUGGGAACUGAACUCAGAUCCUCUG